AUUUUAAACAAAAUGGAGGCAUAAACAUUAGCCUUGUGCUUACCAUCAGAUUUAGAAAUGUAUAUGCUACUUACCAAAAAGGUGUGUUCUGUCUCACUUUUGUGGCAAUUUGUUCAUUAGAGUUGUCAAGCAGAGAUAUUGGCUGUGGUACAAGCCUGGAAAAACAGAACAAAUAGAAAAAUUGCUAUCCUAUAAAACAUUACUUUUAUCGUAAGAGUAUAUGUCACCUAUUUCCUAAUGUAUUUUUCUGCAGAACUAUAAAAUGAUAACUGGUUUGCUCUGUCAUGUAACAAGCAAUUACUAUCUCUGCAUAUACCAGGUGAUACGGGAGAUGUGUAGCUGUCUAUUGUAAAACGUUUUCUUCAAGGAAAUUAAGCAAACAAAGACGUGUAAUAAAUAUACCAAACUGGCUACCUCACUUAAGCUCUCUGUACAGCAGCUGUAUAAAUACCUCUCACGCAGAAACCACUUCUUGGCAAAUACAGCAAGGCUGCUACAAACAGGUAAAUUCAUGUAUUCCACAAAUGCAUGUAUUCAUUCGACUUAUAAAUAUUUACUUGGUGUUCACUAGCACUAAGCACUCUGCUAGGUGCUGUGGAAUUUUAAAGAAUAAUUAAGACAGAGUUGUGUCUUCAAGAGUCUAAUUAUUGACAAAGGAUUAUAUCGCAGGAUAUAAAAUGAGAACUGUGACAAAACACCAAAGGGGAUUCAAAGGGAGAAGAGAUUGUUUCCUUCCAGUGGAAUCUUGGAGGGCUUUAUGGAGCAAGUGGCACUUCAGCUAGGCCUGGAGCAGUGGGCCAGGAGCGGGGAGUCUGGGGAUCCUAGUAGACUGACAUGCGGUGAGGAAAGCCACUGAAGCAAGAACGCACAGAAUUUGUGCAAAGACCAGCGGGAAGUUAGUUAGGCCAGCACGCGAAAUGAGAGGGCGGCUAUCAGGGACUUUGGUGCAGCCGGGCUCUAUGCACUGCCAUCCAUAGGGGGCUGGAGUGGCUCUCUCUGGAAUUCCUCAGGUAAUAUUCCACUUGAGUAACAGGCAGAACUGCCCAACCUGGAAACUAAAAUAAAGAUAACACCAUGGCAGCCUAUACUCCACUUUUCUUUAAAGUGUCAACGUAGACACUUAUAAAUUUAAAAUUUAGGUUGUGUCGAAGGAAGUCUAAAAUUCUAGAGGAGGGAAGAAUUUUUUAAAAGACGAUGAUAUAAAAUACGUAAGGGAAAAACAUGAGCCUCUGAACCACAUGUGCUGCCACUGGCAUUCAAGAAAAAGCUAACCCAGUGGGGGGAAAGGCCCCAACCCCCUGUUCUCUAUCUCUAGCACAUAAGAAAGGGAUAUUGUUUCCUAGAACAACACCCCAAGGCCCCCAUUAGAACAUGAAAAUAUUUACAGCGGUGGUGCUUUCGCUAUGGGAUUGCAUGUUUUCCUUGCAAAUAUUUAACUUAUGCUUUUGUGAGCCAUGGCACAUGGUGUAAAGAAAACAGUAAAUCAGAGCUGAUGUUGAGGGGUGAAGGCUUUUUAUCCUAAACUACUGUGUGUGUUGUGUGUGUGUGUUUCUAAAGAAAAUUUCUAGUUAAAUGCGCCCAUUACUACUAAUCAUUGCAACUAAGAAAAUAUGAAAAAGUUUCUUGUACUUAAUCUACUGUGAAAAUAUACACUGAAAUAAAAAUAGCCCAAAUUAUUGGAGUCUUUUGCUUCAUAAUUUAAUAAUAAUAAAAUUUCUCUUUCAUCUGUUUACCCUGUCAGCCAAAAACAAAGCGGAAUUGUUCUAGGAAAUAAAUCACUUGAACAGCGGAGGAGACUUUGCCCUAUUUGAUAUGGAAAGCACAGUCAAGGGUAUGGAUCUCACAGCCUCGGAGUUAGGAGCUGCUCCAAGCCUUCUUCCCUAGAUGCCUCACACCCCUCCUGGACAACUUCCAAGCAUCACAGCUCUGGAUGGCCACUCAUCUUCUGUAUACAGACUCCAAUCCCGGUGAAACCCAUUUCAUGAAAUGUACUUUAUAUACACCUAAUUUAUUAAAGAGUUGCAUUCAUUAAGGGAUUUUAUUUUUUUUAGUAUUACUACUCAUAGAAGCUGGGAAACUGAAAAGGCAAUAUUGUUCCAAUUACUGUUUUUGUUGAUAAAAAUUUUGAGAACCACAGUUACUUCUAGAUCAGGGGUCUCCAACCCCUGAGCCAAGAAAUGGUACUGGUCCUCAGGCUGCUACCAACUGGGCUGCGUAUCAGGAGGGGGAGCCGAGCGCAAGUGAUCAUUAUGGCCUGAGCUCCGCCUCCUGUCAAUCAGCUGCAGCAUUAGAUUCUCACAGGACCGUGAACCCUAUUGUGAACUCCACAUGGGAGGGAUCUAGGGUCAA
rnacentral:lncRNA from 1 species